GACAAACGCUGGCGGCGUGCUUAACACAUGCAAGUCGAACGGUUCUCCUUCGGGAGAAUAGUGGCGGACGGGUGAGUAACACGUAGUUAACCUACCGUUUAGUGGGGAAUAACCCCUCGAAAGAGGAGCUAAUACCGCAUACGCUCUCUUGUGAUAGCAGGAGAGGAAACCUUAUUCGUAAGAGUUGGGGCUAAAUGAUGGGACUGCGGCGGAUUAGCUAGAUGGUGGGGUAACGGCCUACCAUGGCGACGAUCCGUAGCUGGUCUGAGAGGACGACCAGCCACACUGGGACUGAGACACGGCCCAGACUCCUACGGGAGGCAGCAGUGAGGAAUAUUCCACAAUGGGCGAAAGCCUGAUGGAGCGACGCCGCGUGCGGGAAAGACGCCGUUUUCGGGGUGUAAACCGCUUUUCUCGGGGAUAGAACGAGAGGUUUGUAGCCUCUCUAAGACAGUACCUGAGGAA
rnacentral:rRNA from 1 species